rnacentral:rRNA from 1 species
GUAGGUGGCAAGCGUUGUCCAGAAUUAUUGGGCGUAAAGCGCGCGCAGGCGGUUCUUUAAGUCUGAUGUGAAAGCCCACGGCUCAACCGUGGAGGGUCAUUGGAAACUGGAGAACUUGAGUACAGAAGAGGAGAGCGGAAUUCCACGUGUAGCGGUGAAAUGCGUAGAGAUGUGGAGGAACACCAGUGGCGAAGGCGGCUUUCUGGUCUGUAACUGACGCUGAGGCGCGAAAGCGUGGGGGGAGCAAACAGGAUUAGAUACCCUGGUAGUCCACGCCGUAAACGAUGAGUGCUAAGUGUUAGGGGGUUUCCGCCCCCCCCUUAGUGCUGCAGCUAACGCAUUAAGCACUCCGCCUGGGAGUACGGCCGCAAGGCUG